rnacentral:rRNA from 1 species
GAGAGUUAAACAGUACGUGAAAUUGUUGAAAGGGAAACGAUUGAAGCCAGUCGUACCUUCGGGUAAUCAGCCUUUCGGGUGCGAUUCUGUGGAGUGUGAGGAGCUUAAACACCUUCAUGUUUUGCAUAUUCGUACUCUUGGGUGUACUUGCCCGUGUGGUUGGUUAACAUCAAUUUUGGUGGUCAUAAAAUGACUGGAGGAAUGUAGCUUCGAUCUCGUAUUGAAGUGUUAUAGCCUUCGGUAGAUGUGAUGAUCGAGAUUGAGGAUUGCAACGGAUACCCUUCGGGGCUACCUGUCUGAUCUCUGAUCGUUGCUCUGGUGCCGAAAGCUUGCUUACGGUUAUUGAAGUCGAUGGUCAAUAGGUUAGAACGGGUUAAAUUCGUUAAGGAUGUUGACGUAAUGGCUUUAAACGA